CAGUCGCCGCGGGAAUGCGUAGGGUGCGAGCGUUAAUCGGAAUUACUGGGCGUAAAGCGUGCGCAGGCGGUUUUGUAAGACAGGCGUGAAAUCCCCGGGCUCAACCUGGGAAUGGCGCUUGUGACUGCAAAGCUAGAGUGCGGCAGAGGGGAUGGAAUUCCGCGUGUAGCAGUGAAAUGCGUAGAUAUGCGGUGGAACACCGAUGGCGAAGGCAAUCCCCUGGGCCUGCACUGACGCUCAUGCACGAAAGCGUGGGGAGCAAACAGGAUUAGAGACCCCUGUAGUCCCUGUCUCUUAUACA
rnacentral:rRNA from 1 species